GCCCAUCUGUGUGUAGAUAGUGUUCAGUACCAAUGACAGGCAUGUUCAUCUGUGUGUAGAUAGUGUUCAGUACCAAGGACAGGCAUGUUUACCU
rnacentral:pre_miRNA from 1 species